UCCUGGGAUAACACUGACGUUCAUGCUCGAAAGCGUGGGUAGCAAACAGGAUUAGAUACCCUGGUAGUCCACGCCCUAAACGAUGUCAAUUAGCUGUUGGGCAACUUGAUUGCUUAGUAGCGUAGCUAACGCGUGAAAUUGACCGCCUGGGGAGUACGGUCGCAAGAUUAAAACUCAAAGGAAUUGACGGGGACCCGCACAAGCGGUGGGUGAUGUGGAUUAAUUCGAUGCAACGCGAAGAACCUUACCUGGUCUUGACAUGUACGGAAUCCUCCAGAGACGGAGGAGUGCCUUCGGGAGCCGUAACACAGGUGCUGCAUGGCUGUCGUCAGCUCGUGUCGUGAGAUGUUGGGUUAAGUCCCGCAACGAGCGCAACCCUUGUCAUUAGUUGCCAUCAUUAAGUUGGGCACUCUAAUGAGACUGCCGGUGACAAGCCGGAGGAAGGUGGGGAUGACGUCAAGUCCUCAUGGCCCUUAUGACCAGGGCUUCACACGUCAUACAAUGGUCGGUACAGAGGGUAGCCAAGCCGCGAGGCGGAGCCAAUCUCACAAAACCGAUCGUAGUCCGGAUUGCACUCUGCAACUCGAGUGCAUGAAGUCGGAAUCGCUAGUAAUCGCAGGUCGGCAUACUGCGGUGAAUACGUUCCCGGGUCUUGUACACACCGCCCGUCACACCAUGGGAGUGGGGGAUACCAGAAGUAGGUAGGGUAACCGCAAGGAGCCCGCUUACCACGGUAUGCUUCAUGACUGGGGUGAAGUCGUAACAAGGUAGCCGUAGGGGAACC
rnacentral:rRNA from 1 species